rnacentral:sRNA from 1 species
GCCGGGCGUGGUGGCGCAGGCCUGUAAUCCCAGUGGCUCAGAAGGCUGAGACAGGAGGAUGGCGAGUUCAAAGCCAGCCUCAACAAAAGCGAGGCACUAAGCAAUGCAGUGAGACCCUGUCUCUA